rnacentral:ribozyme from 1 species
AUGUAUAGAAAUGCUUGGAAUCCUAGCGGAAGUGAAUCUGUUUCCGUAAUUUUAAGACAAGCUGGGGAAUUGAUCGGGGA